rnacentral:lncRNA from 1 species
CCAGUGUUUGAAAAUCAUCAUCCUCUGAAAGUGUUGCUCAUCCACAGCCACCGAAGCUCUGCUUUUAGUGCUGUCAUUCAGAUUCAGAGAUGAAGGAAAAACAGCUGAUGGUAAGUUUCCGAGCAUAAUCACAAAAUCUUUUGUUCAUUUUUUAUAUACAUGCUUGAGCACACAUCAGGAGGAUCAAGAAGUUGGUAAUACCUUUGAAUCACCUUCGCCCCUCCUGCAUGCUGAACAUGUGCAGGUGGACUUGUUGCUCCAUGUUCUGCAGCUGCAAGCGCAUAUUCAGUUCACUGCCUGUUUUUGCUAACUAAUGUGCCAAUGGAAGCAUGCAUGGUUUGGCUAUAUGAAGUUCAUCAAAUCAUAAAAGAGUAAAUAGGUGUUGGAUUUAGAGUGCUAGCUCGUAUACUCUAGCACGCGAAGCACGUACGUGCAAGCUAACUUCAACAAAGUAGACUAGUUGCUUAAUUGAUUCUUUGUUAUCUAGAAGUACUUGGACCUGCAGUCUCACGUAUACGUACGAGCUUAGCAGAGCUAGCUAAGCUAGCGACCGAUCAAUCCUACUUCUUGCGGCAGACCGUAGGGACUUCGUAACUCAGCGAACUAAAAAACGAUGGAUAUUUUGUGGAUAGCCAGAGGGGUGUGUCGCUCCUGGCUUUCUUUGUAUUGAUAUAUUUUGGAUCUCAUUUUUGUUUUGAUGAAUUGAUAUAUAAUGAUGUUUGAUCUGCUUCUGCUUGAUUCCUUACUUGUUGUAGGACUUUGGAGUCACGUAGAUUUUGCUUGUUGUGGCAUUGCUUGAAUUUGGGUUAUUGGAUAGCUAGAGCUACGUAGGAUUUCUUCUAAUUUACUCCAGGAGACGAAGACCACGCUUCAUGAAUUCAGGUGCUCUCUCUCAUAUUUCUUGUAACAAUGUUGCCUAAAAGGCAUUUAUCUGGUUGUGACAAAAUAAAAGAAAGAAGAAACUUGUAGACAAAAUCAUUGGAGCUUGUAUCCAAAUCCUAUAAUUAUAUACUCUCUCUGCUCCCAGGGCAGCGUCGAGGUGGUCAUGUGGGAUCCUGUCGAACAGCUCGUGCUCGCUGUCGACUUCGAUGGCAGGGUCACCCGCUCCAUCGGCCUCCUCUCCGGCAGGAUGUACUACUCAGAUUUCAUCCCCUACUUCAACUCAUACACAGAGAUCUACAUGUACUACUCGGAUUAAACUCUGUUCUACUGUACAAUUACACACGAAAGCUGUCUUACCGUAUUGUUGGAUCUGUUAAUCACUGCCCACAUGUUAGAUCGGUUUGAUUUUGAGAUGCAGCGAGACUUUGAUGUUUCUGAAUUCUAAUGUGAAAUCAUGUCUACGUCAGUUGAACUUUGCUCGACUUCCUGUAGAUCGAUGGUGAUAUCAACAUGCAUCCUAAUUGCCAAUCUCGAGUCUGCACUUCUAUACGUUUUUGAUGUGAAACACUUAUGCAUGACUAGUUGUUAAGUUUGUACAAUUUCUUUGGUAGACAAGCAUGGAAAUAUGUACCAACUUUAGUGAAAACUGAGCUUUUCUUAACUAAUCAAGAACUCCCUCAUUAUGUGAAACACCUAUGCAUAUGACUAAUUCUGCACGACAAUUCUGUUCAAUUUGGAUUUCUUUGGUAGUCAAUUAUGUUCAAUUGUGAAACACCUCCUGCAUAUGACUGUGAAAGCAUGUCUACAUCAGUACAACUUUGCAUGCAUAUUUUAUUGACUAGAUAUAUACGUGUUGACUAUUGGUCUGUUCCUAUGUACCACAUAUUGUGUAAUGUAGUUUGCUUGUAUGGUGUUAGUGAAAAUGUUUGUAUGAAAAUAAUUGACAUUGGUGACAGCUUACAUGGCCAUUAGAAAUGCGGAAGCGUACAACAGCUGCGGCCGCCCAUGCCCUGCAUCUCCUGGUCUCUCUAUACCCUGCCUGCAUACUGUCUGUUUGUGAUUUUUCUAGCAAGUAUCUGUUCAUGAGAAAUAAGCUUCCCAUGAUUCACAGGACCAACAACUACUUGUUCUAGCACGUUUAUUUCAAACAAUUUGUGAUUCAUGCUGUUUGAUGAACGAGUAUCCAUGUCGGGAGACUAGCAGAACUUAUAAACUUUAGUUUUCUCACCACUAGUCACUUAUCCUGCUGUUCAUGUCCCUACAUCAUUUGUAUUGGUUCUAUGUUAUAGCUGCUGCAAACAAUUUAUUAAUGUGGGAUGUGGCUCUAAGUCCAAUUCUGUUUCUCUUCUCAAGAAAUCCCCUCUGCCUCUGGUGUGCAGCAAGUUGAUGGUUCUGUCUCUGUAUUAUUGUGGAGAUUGGCCAAGUGUUAGUCGAUCUGCAAGCCGGUUUAAGAGCUUGAUUGGACGGUCCAAUUCAACACGGAGCUGAGUGUCUGUUGAAACUUUUCAUCCAUCAAGCGCCGCUUCCAAUUCAACACGGAGCUGAGUGUCUGUUGAAACUUUUCAUCCAUCAAGCGCCGCCUCCGGCCGCCCCGACGACGCCCUCGCCUCCAACCGCCCCGAUGACGCCCUCGCUUCUGCAUUUGGUCCUGAUGUAUUCCUUUGACUAAUGAAUCUAGCAGCAUCAAAGUCCAGAAUAUCCAAAAUGCCUUGGCUUGCUGAACCCUUGUGCUGGUUAGAAAUGCAGAAUUGUGAUAUUGUGCUGGGAGCACUCUUGUUACAGUCAUAAGUUAGAUUUCAGCUUUGCAUCUUUUCAGGUUUAACUGUUGGUUUACAUUGAAAUUGUUAAGCAAGUACCAAAUUGAGUGCAUAGUGUGCAAUUUGUAUUUAGUAAUCUAGUAGCUCAUAAGCAUCAGACCAUAUGUUUUCUUAUAAGCACACUAAAUUGAUGGUUGAAAGAUUUUAUAUGCUUCUGAUGCAUGAUUCUUCUAAUGCUAGGUGAUUUGUUUCUUGGAAUUUGGAAGAGGAAGAAGAUGAAGCGUGGUGGUUAUCUAUCAAUAUGCCUUGUGUUCUAGUUGUACUUCAUAGGUAGUUACAUUGUAUUCUGUAUUGGUCUGGUUGUAUGAACACUAUGUAAAGAUUGUAAUAGGCUAAUUUUGGACGGUAUAUAGUUCUGUUUCAUUUGAAAUAUUUGUCAUUUGUGUACUGUGAAAAUGUGAGAAAUAGAAAGUUGAUGAGUUGGACUUAUUGGUAGAGGCCAAGGCCCAAAACGUAAAUAGCCUG